UCUCGGCAAAUUAUCCUCAUAAGUUAGACGAAAUGAAGGACCCUCUAGUAAUAUUUAAUUAAAUUAUUAAAAUUUUUAUUUAUAAAUUAAUAUAAAUAAAGAUAUUUAAAAUUGGUUAUUUAUUCUGAUGGUGGCACAUAAUCGGAGGCCCCGACUGUUUACUUAAAACACAGCUUUCUGCAACGAUUAAUAUCUUUGUAUAGGAAGCGAAUUUUGCCCAAUGCCAUUAAUAUAAUGUUGAUAACCUUUUUAGUGUUUAUUGAUUGAAGUUCUGGUCAAUGGCGGUCUUAACCAUGAGGAUCCUAAGGUAGCAAAAUUAAUUGUCCAUUAAAUGUGGUCCCGA
rnacentral:rRNA from 1 species